rnacentral:rRNA from 1 species
GCAUAAUCAUUUGCUUCUUAAUUAGAGGCUGGAAUGAAUGGAAUAACGAAUAUCUCUCUAUAUAUAAAAUACACCCUAAAAACUAUACUUCAGGUGAAGAUACCUGAAUUUAACUGAAAGACAAGAAGACCCUGUAGAGUUUUAGUGCCUUCAUACAAACCUUAAAUUUACAAAGACACUUUAGUUGGGGCGACUAAGGGUAACAUCAAACACCCUUUCACACCAAAGAAAACUCUAUUUAAUAAUCCUAAACAAAGAACUUAAACCUAACUACCUCAGGGAUAACAGGCUUAUCUUCCUAGCAAGUUCAAAUUAACAGGAAGGUUUGGCACCUCGAUGUUGGCUUAGAGUAACUAAAUAAAGCAAAAAUUAUUAAAAGUUAGUUUGUUCAACUAUUAAACCUCU